UACGAGGGGGGCGAGCGUUGUUCGGAAUUAUUGGGCGUAAAGGGUGCGUAGGCGGUUCCGCAAGUCCUGUGUGAAAUCUUCGGGCUCAACUCGAAGUCUGCACGGGAAACUGCUUUGCUUGAGUGCCGGAGAGGAUGGCGGAAUUCCCCAAGUAGAGGUGAAAUUCGUAGAUAUGGGGGAGGAACACCGGUGGCGAAGGCGGCCAUCUGGACGGUAACUGACGCUGAGACGCGAAAGCGUGGGGGAGCAAACAGG
rnacentral:rRNA from 1 species